UACGAAGGGGGCUAGCGUUGCUCGGAAUCACUGGGCGUAAAGCGCACGUAGGCGGACUUUUAAGUCAGGGGUGAAAUCCUGGAGCUCAACUCCAGAACUGCCUUUGAUACUGGGGAUCUCGAGUCCGGGAGAGGUGAGUGGAACUGCGAGUGUAGAGGUGAAAUUCGUAGAUAUUCGCAAGAACACCAGUGGCGAAGGCGGCUCACUGGCCCGGUACUGACGCUGAGGCGCGAAAGCGUGGGGAGCGAACAGG
rnacentral:rRNA from 1 species